GAUGAAGAACGCAGCGAAAUGCGAUAAGUAAUGUGAAUUGCAGAAUUCAGUGAAUCAUCGAAUCUUUGAACGCACAUUGCGCCCCUUGGUAUUCCGAGGGGCAUGCCUGUUCGAGCGUCAUUAUAACCCCUCAAGCUCAGCUUGGUGUUGGGGCCUGCUGCACUGGCAGCCCUUAAAAUCAGUGGCGGCGCCAUCUGGCUCUAAGCGUAGUAAUUCUUCUCGCUAUGGAGUCCUGGUGGAUGCUUGCCAUCAACCCCCAAUUUUUCUAUGGUUGACCUCGGAUCAGGUAGGGUUACCCGCUGAACUUAAGCAUAUCAAUAAGGGAGGA
rnacentral:misc_RNA from 1 species